rnacentral:lncRNA from 1 species
AGAAUUUUAAGUACAUUUUAUUAACAAUGUAUCCCUUUGAUAAGAUUAUGCUUCAGGAGGCUUUUAAUGCCCUUGACAUAAACUGUACACAUUAUACAAAAACAAGAGAAUCACAACAAAAAAAAUCAAGGUGAGCAAAACCAUUUGGGGACAAAUCUUAUUUAAAUUAUACACAACUCAAUGAAAUAUUCUUACAGAAAAAAUAUAAAUACUUUUUCUUUCUAUGUUACAGUUAUACAAUAUAAAUCAGAUUUCAAUGUCUGUUCAGUGACCUACAAACACCAGAACCUCCAAAUAUGUAGCAGCGUAUUACUAAAUAAAAAAGAAGAAAAUCAUGUGGUUAGAGAGCAUUAAGUCUGAUACUUUUUUCACAAUUCCUUACCACUUUUCAAAACUAAUUUACACCAUUUGUUUUACAAUGCAGCUUUAGGGUUUCUGACAGGCAUUUCUGUAACAAUUACCUACAAAUUUUUUUUCACUCCCCGUCUCUGCCCCAAGACUUUGCAUUUUGUGCUAAAUCAACCAAGUAGCAAAAUUGAAAGGUAUGCUUUUUUUUGGCAUAAAUUAUAUUUUUGAAAUUAAAUAUUCUAUAAAGAAAGUAAAACAAAAUGUGCAAUUUAUGCAUGCUGUGGUGUAGCUAUCCGAUAUUACAUUACAAAAAUACUUCAAACAGGAAAAAAGUCCACAUUCUGUGAGUCAUAUAAACCUACUAGGAAUAUAAACCUACUAGGAAUAAUUUUCCUACUAGGAAAAAUACCCUGGAACUUGGAACUGAAAGAAAAAAACAAUGCUCCUAGAAAGAUUCUCACAGAUUUGUGUUCUUUGAUAAGCACUGCUAUUAAUUUCACUGGUAUGCUUUUACAUGAGAUUCUCACUGUAAUGACACUUUUGAGAUUAAGAUAGUAACAGUGUAUUUUGUUAAUGCAGAGACAAUGGAGACUUUUCCUAACUUAUGUUUUGGAAAAUCUGAAAUGUUGGUUCAUUCCAAACAGCUCUUCUAAUAAAAGUCUCUCAAUUUUACUUUUUCUUUUUUCCCAUGUUUUAAUGGAUUGUGAAUCUGAGACAAAACUGGAAACAUAAGACUAAAGGGGAAAAAAUCUUACUUCCAAAGAACAUUUCCCAAAGUAGUUUACAAAGUUCAUCUCACACAAAAUUAGCACCUCACUCUUACCAUGCAAAAAUAACUGCAGUUAUAAUUUGAAUGACAGACAAUUUGGUUUUUAUUGCUUAAUGAUCUGUGCUUUAAUGUGGGGAUAAAAGGCAUCCUCUGAACGGAAUGAAAUAACAUUUUAUAUAAAUAGCAGUAGGAAAAUCUAAGCAUUGAUAUCCCACUGUUGAACACUUUGCCGUUGUGAUAGAUAUGCCCUGAAAAACUCAGCUUUAAUUAUCUCGAGCUCUAGAUAAAAGAGCUGAAACCCAUUAAAGUUGUCAUUUCAAAGGACUUGUACACAUUAUUACAUUAUAAUAAUGUAUAUACUUCCAAAGAGCCUCUUUUAAUGUCACUGUCAUAUAGAAUGUCCUUAUUCUGCUAAUUGUUAUUAGAAAAAUUUUAAUUAGGGAGAACAGACUGUUUCCCCCCUCCAAUCUACCUAAGAAUAAACAGGAAAUAGAAGUAUAAUAAAUUUUAGAGCAUAUUUAAUUAUGAAUACUAAAUUUCUAAUUUCCUUAUUUAUCAGUAUUUACUUAGUAUGUGAGGCUGAAAUCUGUUCUUGAAAAAAAGUUCAAUUAGAAAUAACAAUUCACUUUACGAUUAGAAAUUCACAGUUUACAACCAGCACAACUGCCCAAAUUCCUCCAAAUUAUUCAAUAAUUACCAAUAGUACAAAUUUAUAUGGACUAAGAUUAAUCCUAAAAUCUUUAAAAACUACAGUAUUGACAUUAUUUUGGUAUUCUAUAGUCUGUAAUAUCUAUUAUUUAUAGAUGAUUUUCUCAAUUAUUUCUAUUACUGCUGAUAUCAUUCCUAACCUCUUCUGCUAUAAUAUUUUUAAACACCUAAGUUAAUCACUUGGCACUGCAUGUAUUUUUCACCAUAAAGUCUACUUUUUACAAACAAGUACUCAAAGAAAAUGAAUUAGACCUGUCAGUGAAAUCAUAGAGAAACCAAAUAGCACUAUAAAUUUAAGCAUAGACUUUUUUUUUUUAGUAUACUGAUAACCACAAAGCUCUGAGUAUCUCCCCAAAGUAAGUGAUAUAGGCAAAUAUGAUAAUGUAUACAUACAUAUUUUUCAAAGUAACAGUAAAAAAAACCCACAAAACAUUCAGGCCAAUACUAACUAAGCCUUAUUUCAGGAUAGAUGACCAAGGUGGGGGUACAGGGAUAGUGAUGGUGGGGGAGGGGGUGUGUAUGUGUGUAAGACAAAAAAAAAAAAAUCACUGUUAACUUUUGAGGGAUUAAACCACAGAUUUUAUACUCUAUAUUAACUGAGGUAGUGUUUAAAACGAAUGUCUAAAAUACGUUAAUCCCAUUAUGAAUAAGAUUACUACAUUACUUCCUUUGGAGGUUUUAACCACUAUUUGGUCUAGUAACUCUGACAUUUGGUUCUCUGGAAAGGCAGUUUAGUUAUCCAAGACCAAAGACCACGAUGACAGGCAACGUUCUUAGAAGUACUGUCGACAUUUAAAUAAACACUUGGGUUCAGUGAUAAAGUAUAAAAAAAUUAUCUUCAAUUGGAUUUUAUGAGAGGAAAUCUGAAGAACCACUUUUCAACAUAAGCAGCAGCUUACAGCCCUUAUCUGCUUUGUUAUAAUGUAAGUUGCUACACAGUGCACAUAAGAACAAUUCACUGAAGUGCAGUCAAAGAGGUGUUAUGUAGUGAGACGAAAUGCUUCAUCCCAACUGGAACUUUCAGUGCCAGUAAAUAAAUUUUUUAAAAAAGUAUCUCUGUGAGUUAUGUUUUCUAGUUCACAGGGUUCUUUACAGAGAUCUCAAAGAACAAGCCCAUUACAAAAAGGAUCUGCAUCAUGGGAAAAUAUUAAUGUUGCUAUGACUGUGUCAAAACUGAUGUGUAAUUGUAAUAAAAAUGUUAUACACAAAUGAAUUAAAAAAGAAUCCUAAUCAGUCCAGCUGGAUUUUCUAUUUCUAUUUAUAUAUAGAUCUCAAAAAAGAUAAUCCUUUCAUUUACAAGCAUUCAAAUGAUGAUGGCCAUGCUAUUUUUAUAUACAAAUUUGCAUAUAUGUUUAAAUCCUGUAAAAAUUUCCAAAUAUCUUUAGACAUAUACAAAUUAAACAAACAAAAACCUUGCCCUCAUCAACUUAACUUCACAAAUGGAAAAAGGCAAUUAAUAUACUCAUAAACCCACCUAUCACUGCAUUUAGUUUGUGCAAAACAAAAACACUGAUAUAAAAAUUAAGUUACUGCUGCUUUAAAAUUUGGUACUUAAGGCUUUUCACUACAAUUUUUCUUAAUAACAAGCUUUAUUAAUGAUUUUCUUAAAGGAAAUAUGGCUCUUCUUUCCUCCAUGGAAUGUGUAAAUUGCAAGCAAACUUAUCUUUUCCUCAGGAGAUCCAAAGUAGUAUUUAAUGCUUUCCUAUCCUUUAGGUCUAAACUAACAGUGCUUGUUCAAGUUCCUGUUUAAAGCGAUGAGAUGGAAAGGUGAUGAAAGUGGAAGUCCAUUGCAAAUAUAUGCACUCUAUAAAUGGGAAAUAUUUUUAAUUAAAAUAAAAAAUGAUUUUUAAAAUUUUAUUCAAGAACUGUAGUGAAAAACCUUAAUUGGUUC